rnacentral:rRNA from 1 species
UGAGGAAUAUUGGUCAAUGGGCGUAAGCCUGAACCAGCCAUGCCGCGUGCAGGAAGACGGUCUUAUGGAUUGUAAACUGCUUUUAUACGAGGAUAAAAGUUAUUUUGCGAAAUAAUUUGAAGGUAUCGUAUGAAUAAGGAUCGGCUAACUCCGUGCCAGCAGCCGCGGUAAUACGGAGGAUUCGAGCGUUAUCCGGAUUUAUUGGGUUUAAAGGGUGCGUAGGCGGCUAUUUAAGUUAGAGGUGAAAGACAUUUGCUUAACAAAUGCGAGCCUUUAAUACUGGGUAGCUGGAAUUGAUAUGGAGCAGGCGGAAUGAAUCAUGUAGAGGUGACAUUCAUAGAUAUGAUUCAGAACACCGUUCGCGAAGGCUGCUUGCUAAUAUUAUAUUGACGCUGAUGCACGAAAGCGUGGGUACCGAACAGGAUUAGAUACCCUGGUAGUCCACGCUGUAAACGAUGAUAACUCGAUGUUGGCGAUAUAUAGUCAGUGUCUAAGAGAAAUCGAUAAGUUAUCCACCU